AACGUGACCCGACCCCUGCACCUUCAUCUUCUUCUCCGCGUGAACUACAGACAUGAAACAAGCAAAAUCACGUCCAACUCCAGACGCAAACCAGAGCGUGAGUACAGUAACCUAGAGCAUCGUUCCCUCCCUCUCUCCUUAUCUGUUUGCACGGAAACCAGGUGAUGAGAUCUCCCAUUGCCUUUGUCCUUUCUUCAGAAAGCAAAUGACUACUAUUAUCAAUCCGUUGAAGAGGUGUACAAUUUUUUGAGCUGGCAACCUUAUCCCGUUGAAGAGAAUUCGAAUUUGAAAU
rnacentral:misc_RNA from 1 species